rnacentral:tRNA from 1 species
AAAGUUUUAAGUUAAAUUAAACUAUUAACCUUCAAAGUUAAAAAUAUAUAUAUAUAUAAACUUUA